AGCGAACGCUGGCGGCAGGCCUAACACAUGCAAGUCGAACGAACUCUUCGGAGUUAGUGGCGGACGGGUGAGUAACACGUGGGAACGUGCCCUUUGGUUCGGAAUAACUCAGGGAAACUUGUGCUAAUACCGAAUGUGCCCUUCGGGGGAAAGAUUUAUCGCCAUUAGAGCGGCCCGCGUCUCAUUAGCUAGUUGGUGAGGUAACGGCUCACCAAUGCGACGAUCAGUAGAUGGUCUGAGAGGCUGACCAGCCACACUGGGACUGAGACGCGGCCCAGACUCCUACGGGAGGAGGCAGUGGCGGACCUUGCAACAUCGCGGAAAGGCUGAAGCAGCCAGGAUGGGUGAACGAUGAAGGUAUUAGGAAUGAAAAAUUCUUUCACCGGUGAACAUCAUGACGGUACCUGGAGAGGAAGCCACGGCUAACUUCGUG
rnacentral:rRNA from 1 species